AUUGAACGCUGGCGGCAGGCCUAACACAUGCAAGUCGAGCGAGCGGCGGACGGGUGAGUAAUGUCUGGGAAACUGCCCGUUGGCGGGGGGUAACUACUGGAAACGGUAGCCAAUAACGCAUACUACAAGAUGUGCCCAGAUGGGAUUAGCUGGUAGGUGGGGUAACGGCCAACCUAGGCGACGAUCGCUAGCUGGACUGAGAGGAUGACCAGCCACACUGGAACUGAGACACGGUCCAUGCGCCUACGGGAGGCAGCAGUGGGGAAUGGUGCGCAAUGGGCGCGAGCCUGAUGCAGCCAUGCCGCGUGUGUGAAGAAGGCCUUCGGGUUGUAAAGCACUUUCAGCGGUGAGGCGGUACCCGCAUAAGAAGCACCGGCUAACUCCGUGCCAGCAGCCGCGGUAAUAC
rnacentral:rRNA from 1 species